CCCUUAGAUGUCCUGGGCCGCACGCGCGCUACACUGAGUGUCUGAGAUACGAGUCUGCCUGGUCCGGCAAGGUCUAGGUAAUCGCUAAAAGACACAUCAUGCUGGGGAUAGAUUAUUGCAAAUAUUAAUCUUGAACGAGGAAUUCCUAGUAAGCGCAAGUCAACAGCUUGCGUUGAUUACGUCCCUGCCCUUUGUACACACCGCCCGUCGCUACUACUGAUUGGAUGUUUAAGCGAGGUUCUCGAACUGCUAGCGACUUAGCUUCGGUGAGGUCGCAGUGUGGGAAGUGAACCGAGCUUUGGUGUCUAGAGGAAGUAAAAGUCGUAACA
rnacentral:rRNA from 1 species